GGAAAGGUGCAGGAGCGGUUGAACUGGCAGCACUGGAAAUGCUGUGAACCUCAAAAGGGUUCCGUGGGUUCGAAUCCCACCCUUUCCGCCA
rnacentral:tRNA from 1 species